AAAUUUCUGGAAUGUGCUAAGAGCCUAGGAAUAAGAUGCCCAUUGGGCACCAACAUAAAAGUGGGCUGCAUUCAGGAAAAGCUGAGGUGAUCAGCAUGACUUAACCACUGGCAAAGCACCCUGCCCUUGACUUGACCUCUGGACCAGGGACUUGAAAUCCCACCAAUCCCUGAUCUUGCCCCAGAAUCAGACCACAAAAAUCCACCAAUCCCAAGCCACCCUGAAAAGCUCUGCCCGCCUCCCCACGCGAGAAACCCUGUACAAGCCCUGUUCAGUGUGGGGCUGUUUCUCACCUGAGAUGGCCAGCCUCCUGGAUGCUUCCCAGCAAAUCUCUUGACGGAGGUUUGUUGUAUGAUGUGACAUUUUUGCGAGUGGAGCCCAGCUGUAACAACUUUUGCUGGAGCCGGAACCGGAGCUGGACUGGGGCAGAACGGUGGGUCCACAGACCUGAGCCAUGUCAUCUUGAUGGCGAAAUGUGUCCUUUGCUUCCUGGGGGGAAAGUUCACAGAGCUACUUGGUCAUCAAGGAUCAUCAAGAGCCAACUAGGCUUCUCCGUUGAACUCGGCCCUGCUCAUUUUACGCGCUGCCUGGGAAAAGGAAGACCACACUGUUGGAGCGUCAAUAGCUGAAGUGUCCAGAGCUGAGGGAGGUCAGCGCCUCUGCACUGAGUGGUGGUGGUGGUGGUGGUGGUGGUGGGGAUUGCAGAACACUCGAGAGCCAAGCCUUAUUGCUACAGAAGACAUCAAGGGUACUUGCUGUGGCUCACGAGGCCGCAGAAGGAAGGAGAUAAGUCACCACAUGAUCAUGAAAUAACUCCAAGGAACAUGUAUUGGCUCUGCUGUAAACACAGCAGGUCCGCAGAUCCCGAGAGAUGGAGGAAGGGGUGGCAGAACCAUUGUUCUUCCUAUACAGACUGUAUUCACAUCGUUAUUAUUUAAAAAAAUAAUGUCUAUCAUCACACCGUAAAUCAAAAAACAGAAAAAAAAGGCACAUUAAAAUUAUCUGUAACCCCCAAAUUAAAAAGAGUCACCAGAUGAUUCAGAAACUCUGCUUCUGGGAUUCAUCCAAAAGAACUAAAAGUAGGACUCAGAUAGACACAUACGCAUCCAUGUUAACACUGUGUUUCUCAUAAGAACCGAACAGGGGCAAUGAACCAAGUAUCUACAGUAAAUGAAACCGCGGACACAUGUGAUAGCAGCCUUUUGAAGGAAAGGGAUGCUGCCACGUGCUGCAGUGUGGAUGAACCUUGAAGACACUGCGCUAUGUGCAACAAACACAUACAAAUAAAAGCCGGACAGAGGACAGAAAGAACAGAAGGGAGCAUUUUCAGGUUCUUUAUUAUAAAGACACAGUUGUACUCUAGAUUGUAGAAAUCCCUAGCUGAGCAAGCACACACCUCUUCGUGGUCUGUUGUGCGUUGGCCCUCCCCUGAAAGCCCCCCUUCCCCUGAUGACCCUGGAGGAGCACAAUGUUGAUGCCAGUGGAACCUAACUUGACUCGGGUCUCAAAGGUUGCCUGAGCCCAGGCACUGACUGAGGAUAGAGUCCAAGGAUAGAUAGCAUGAGAAACCAAGACAUCAUACGUCUCGAAAAUGGCUGACCACCCUACCUGACCAGAGGGGCAAGACUGAGUUACGGGACUGCUGAUGGCUGCCUUCGUUCCUCCCAGUCGUUCCUCCCUGGAGAGUCUGCUGCCUGGAGAUAGAGACGGAAUUAGAUCUCUAGGAUGGGAAUCCACCGUCUUCUCAGACUGACUGUUCUAAGUAAAGCACAUCCUGAAGAUCUAAUUCCUGGCUCUGCUCACUCGAGUCUGACUGUGACAGCUUGAUCACAUUCUGCUUACAAGACCAUGAAUUGUAUGAUUCUUCGCGAGGGAUCUGGGGCGAUCAAAUUCUAGAGACAGAAGGUGGGACUCUUGCUUCUAGGCUCUCAGAGGAGGAGGCAGGGGCAAGUUGUUGCUUAAUGGAAGGGAGUUUCGUUUGGAUGAAUGGAAGCAGGUCACGCUUAACAUAACAUAACAUAACAGCCAUGGGGAUGCUCUUAAUGACACCAAAUGAUACCUUAAAAUAGAAAAUGUUAUACUUUAUUUUAUUUCAUAUCCUAUCACAAAAAAUGUGCCCAUUAACAAAAGAGUUCUAUAAUUUACAACCCAAAAAUGGAUGAGGUAGGGCAGGAAACUAAACUCAGUGGGUGAAACACAAGAAGAAGCUAUGAGAGGAAGAGGGGGGGUUAUUGAGGAGAGGGGGCUCCACUGGGAGAAAGGAUGGGAGAAGGAAAUGGGGAAGAAAGUUACUGCAAUUUCUUAUAUGAAGGCAGGAAAUCACUACGUAAUCUAUAACUCAUAAAAGAAAAUUAUUGUUGAAAGAAAUUAUAGAAGAUUUAAAUCAAUCAAGAGACAACCAUGUUUAUGGAUUAAAAGACCCACUGUUAUUUAGAUGACAACACAGACCAAACUGGCCUGUGUGCCUGGUGUGGUGCACAGGGCUGUUACACACAUGAACUCACAGUGGUUAUCACUAUAUGCAUAAGAUCAAAGAUGAAAUCAUCCGGAAUCCCAGCGUGGAAGGGAGAGGGGCUCAUGAAGCUCCGCCCCUAGCUGAGGAACUAGCGGUAACUGAUGGCUGCUCAUAGAACAAAACUCAGUUUUCUUUAAGAAUGUGCUCCUGGAGAGACACAUGCUCCGGUAGCUGGUCCUACCCCAUACCCAUAGAGCAAAGCACAGGAAGUUGAGGGUGGGGAGGGGAAAAUAAAGAAGGAAUCAGAAGGGUGGGAUUAGGGAUGGAUUUGACCAAAAGACAUUAUGUGCAUCUAUAAAUUCUCAAACUAUAAAAAGAUUUUUAUAAAGCAAAACAAGAAAACAAUUCGGUAUGAUGCCUGAAUAUCGCAGCUGACUCCUUUGCAGAAGUCAACAAAUGAAUUCUAAAGCUGGUACAGAAAUUCAAAGGACCCAAAGUAGGAAGAAUGUCUUUAAAACAGACCGUGCUGACAGGCUCAGACUUUCCGAUCUUAAGCCCGCUCCGGGGCUACAGUAAUCCAAGUUUGGAAAUGGAAUAGGAUAAACACAUAGAUGAACGGACAAGAACAGAGAUGAGAAGAAACCAAUCCGGGAGAGAAAGAAUGGGCUUCUCGGCAAAUCGUAAAGGAACAGCUGGACACCCACAGGUAAAAGGAAAAGAAAAUACCAUUUCUCAACAAAAUUUACCAGAGCCUGCCAAGCGACUCAGCAGAUAGCCAAGCCUGAUGACCUGAGUUUUAAUCUCCAGGCUCAUAAAAUGGAUAGGAAGGAAAGAGAGAAGCAGCACCUCUCUCUCUCUCUCUCUCUCUCUCUCUCUCUCUCUCUCUCUCUCUCUGUCUGUCUCUCUCUCUCUCUCUCUCUCUCUCUCACACACACACACACACACACACACCACGCCCAUAUGCCUGCUUGUACACACACACUGAAAAAAAAUGUAAUUUUGAAAAGUUUAUCAAAGACCUAAAAGCAAAAACCAAAUCUGUUUAAUGCUGCCGAGAGUGGUCGAUGGCAAACACUUAAAAAAGAUCCAAUAGUUCUUCAAAUAAACAUAGUUAAUGUAUGAUGGAGAAAAUCAAACAGGCAUCCUCACUAAAUAGAUCAAUAAAUAAGCAAACAAACAAACAAAUAAACCUUGUAUAAGAAUGCUCAUAGCAGCAUUAUUUACUAUGCCAAAACUGCUCACAAACUAAUAAACAGACGAAUAAAUCUGCACAAUAUAUAUUUAUGCAUAGAAAUAAUACUAUCCUAAUACACACUACACCACAUCCAGACCUUGGAAAUACUUAACUAAGUGAUAGCAACUUGCCAGAUCUUCUAUCCUUUGACACAAAGAUGUAUAAAGUGCCCAGUUCUUGUCCAGGGCUCAAGACUAGGUAGGAAGAAAUGAGGAGUGGCUGAUAAAGGCUCACAGCUUCCUUUGAAGCAUCAAAAACUUUCUAAAACUGAUUAUGGGGAUGGUGUCAAACCCUAGGAUUACACUAAAACUAUUCUGUGUGUUAAGUGUAUGAGUUGGGGCAUAUGGAUUACAUCAUAAAGCACUUGGGACAAAACCUUAGUUUAUGCCCACCCUUUGAUUAUGGUGAAUAAUGCUGUCAGGGUCACAGUCUACAGAUAUCUGUUUGAAACCCUGAUUUUAAUUUUUUUUUUUUUUUUACCGUAUCCAGAAUCACAUAGUAAUCCUGUUGGGGAUUUUUAUUUUGGAAGGAUCGAUGCACUGCCCACUUGUUUUUCUAUAUCUAUUUCACUGUUAAUAUUCUGGGCUGUGUCUUUAGAGCCUCCUUCUCCAUAUAUUUAUACAUUUUUAAAUAUAUUUAGGGUUUUAUCUUUCAUA